GCAGCCCCAGGAAGGGACAGCUGUCUCACCGAACGCGUGCCUGUCCUCCAAGCUGUGGCUGUGAGUGGCCCAGUAAUGUGUAGUGAUGGAUUGAAUAGGCACCAAGGAAGAUGCCCAAGCUUUGGCUGGUCGCUGCUCCACUUGGAGUCUCUCUACGUCGUGAUGGAGGAUGGCAGACACAAGUCAAUACGGAGUCAGGAAGAAAACCAUGUCCAAGGGCCUGGGUGGGGCCGGCAUGGAGAGGGAGGUGACAGCAACGUGGACGGUCCUUGGGGGCAUGAGGCUGAGCGGAACAGGCCAGAUGGAGACGAACCCGCAUGACCACCUUCCACGGGGCUGGGAAGUAAACCUGCCGACACCGAGAGAAGCUGCUGCUCGCCAGGGCUGGGGGCCUCUGCAGUGAAGGUGCUCGGGAGGUCCCAACUCCCAGUUAUGAGCGUCCUUGGAGAGGGAGACGUUUAACAUCUGGCUUGAAGUGAGCCUGUUGCUCUGACCUCUCUGAAAACUCGGAUUUUCUUCUUGGAGUGACGGAGGUAUUUUUAUGCGUAUUUCUAUGGUGGGCUUUGGACUGAUUUUUGUGCACCAUGAGAGGCCAGAGUUCAUCAUCAGAGCGAUUGUGCAGGUAUAGACCAGACUGCAAGAAGAGGGGCCGCACAAGGACGGGAUGUGCCAGGUUGGGAUGUGCCAGGUUGGGGGGUA